UACAUUUUAAGGACACGUCAGUCAAUCAGUGCAGAGUAUAAAACCCAUAGUGGUAGCAGAAGGUCAGACUGAGUAAAGCAGGGAGACAGUAUAGGAGGAGGUGGAAAGCUUCCACUGCAUGCGUACAGACACAUCAGUGAGUCAUUGA